rnacentral:rRNA from 1 species
CUACGGGACGCUGCAGUGGGGAAUAUUGCGCAAUGGAGGAAACUCUGAUGCAGCAACGCCGCGUGGAGGAUGACACUUUUCGGAGCGUAAACUCCUUUUAUAUAGGAAGAAGGUGACGGUACUAUAUGAAUAAGCGCCGGCUAACUCCGUGCCAGCAGCCGCGGUAAUACGGAGGGCGCAAGCGUUACUCGGAAUCACUGGGCGUAAAGAGCGUGUAGGCGGAUUAAAAAGUCAGAAGUGAAAUCCUAUAGCUUAACUAUAGAACUGCUUCUGAAACUCUUAAUCUAGAAUAUGGGAGAGGUAGAUGGAAUUUCUGGUGUAGGGGUAAAAUCCGUAGAGAUCAGAAGGAAUACCGAUUGCGAAGGCGAUCUACUAGAACAUUAUUGACGCUGAGACGCGAAAGCGUGGGGAGCAAACAGGAUUAGAUACCCGUGUAGUC